UACGUAGGGGGCCAGCGUUGUUCGGAAUUACUGGGUGUAAAGGGUUCGUAGGCGGUGCGGCAAGUUGGGAGUGAAAUCUCUGGGCUCAACCCAGAGACGGCUUCCAAAACUGCUGUGCUUGAGUGUGGGAGAGGCUCGUGGAAUUGCAGGUGUAGCGGUGAAAUGCGUAGAUAUCAUUUGGAACGCCAAUGGUGAAAACAGCUCGCUGGGGGUUUGCUGACGCUGAGACACGAAAGCCAGGGGAGCAAACGGGG
rnacentral:rRNA from 1 species